rnacentral:rRNA from 1 species
UUUGUCUUUUGCGUACUGUAUGUUUCCUCGGCGGGUUCGCCCGCCGAUAGGACACUUCAAAACCUUUUGUAAUUGCAAUCAGCGUCAGAAAAACUAUAAUAGUUACAACUUUCAACAACGGAUCUCUUGGUUCUGGCAUCGAUGAAGAACGCAGCGAAAUGCGAAAAGUAGUGUGAAUUGCAGAAUUCAGUGAAUCAUCGAAUCUUUGAACGCACAUUGCGCCCCUUGGUAUUCCAUGGGGCAUGCCUGUUCGAGCGUCAUUUGUACCCUCAAGCUCUGCUUGGUGUUGGGUGUUUGUCCCGCCUUCGCGCGUGGACUCGCCUUAAAGUGAUUGGCAGCCGGAAUAAUUCUGGGGAACGCAGCACAACUGCAGCCUCCAUUUUACGCCGAGCGUCCAGUAAGCCUUUUUUUCAACGUUUGACCUCGGAUCAGGUAGGGAUACCCGCUGAACUUAAGCAUAUCAA